GCGUAUUUCGUAUAAUGGCUAUUACCUCAGCCUUCCAAGCUGAUGAUGCGGGUUCGAUUCCCGCAAUACGCUCCA
rnacentral:tRNA from 1 species